GAUGAACGCUGGCGGCGUGCCUAAUACAUGCAAGUCGAGCGAACGGACGAGAAGCUUGCUUCUCUGAUGUUAGCGGCGGACGGGUGAGUAACACGUGGAUAACCUACCUAUAAGACUGGGAUAACUUCGGGAAACCGGAGCUAAUACCGGAUAAUAUUUUGAACCGCAUGGUUCAAAAGUGAAAGACUGUCUUGCUGUCACUUAUAGAUGGAUCCGCGCUGCAUUAGCUAGUUGGUAAGGUAACGGCUUACCAAGGCAACGAUGCAUAGCCGACCUGAGAGGGUGAUCGGCCACACUGGAACUGAGACACGGUCCAGACUCCUACGGGAGGCAGCAGUAGGGAAUCUUCCGCAAAGGGCGAAAGCCUGACGGAGCAACGCCGCGUGAGUGAUGAAGGUCUUCGGAUCGUAAAACUCUGUUAUUAGGGAAGAACAUAUGUGUAAGUAACUGUGCACAUCUUGACGGUACCUAAUCAGAAAGCCACGGCUAACUACGUG
rnacentral:rRNA from 1 species